rnacentral:misc_RNA from 1 species
GUUGUGUGUGUAGGAGGUCUCCUGCCCCUCUCUCUCUCUCUCUCUUGUUGGCUCACUUAUAUGUUAUUUACCACAAGUAACUUUAUAGGUCAUGUGCUUGCCUGUGGAUGUGUGUACCUAUUAGUUCUGACGGGGAUGAUAUUUGCCAAGAAUAUCUCAUUGAACGCAAAAAGUUUAUACAAAUAUUCUUCAGUCACAAUGCACAUCAAAUGUCGGGGAGGCUUCUAUCCUCGUUCAAAUAACAAGGUGAAAAGAGCAGAGGUUCCCAAUGACAAGGUGGAGUGGUCAGUACCUUUUCCCGAUUAUGCAGCGAGAAAGUACACGGCUGCACACAUUCUGGCUGCUCCGGCAUAUGCUGACCCUGAGAUAGGUUCUCCAGGAUUUGUACCUUGCUGGAAUACUUUAGAUGGAAAAAUCAAUCGCCGCUCACAUGAAGGAACCUACAGCAUUGAUGAUGGAUUUCCCUGGAACAUGCAUGGCCGCACAGGUAUUGCUGGUCGUGGAGCCCUUGGCCGUUGGGGGCCUAAUCAUGCAGCUGACCCAAUUGUUACUCGAUGGAAAAUUGCUGGCAACGAAUUUGUUCAUGGUAACUCUGGGAAGCCCAUUCUACAAUUUGUGUGUAUUCAGCGUCGUGAUAGUGGUGAGUGGGCCAUACCAGGGGGCAUGGUGGACCCAGGAGAACGAGUCAGCGCCACACUUCAGCGAGAAUUCCAAGAAGAAGCUUUGAAUUCUAUAGAGAUGACACAUGAACAAAAGCAACAAAUUGAACAGAAGCUAAAUAACUUCUUCCAAGGAGAAUCUGGAGGUUUUAAGUUUGGUCUGGAUAAUCGAGGUCACUCUUUUAAACCAUUGGUAAUAUAACAUGCAAGUCAACAUACAUUCGGGACCUUCGACAAGCCACCGGCUUCCUGUCCUCGGCAAGGCCGCUAGUGUUAGUGACCCCCUCAUGUAAAUCGGGUGAAGAAGUGUUCCGUGGAUAUGUUGACGACCCGCGUAAUACCGACAAUGCCUGGAUGGAGACAGUUGCAUACAACUUCCAUGAAAGUAACCAAGAUGGUGCCCUGUACAGCCUGCAUCUGCAUGCUGGAG